rnacentral:tRNA from 1 species
GGUAAGAUGGCCGAGUUUUAGGUGGCGGAUUGUAGCUCCGUAGAGAGAGGUUAGAAUCCUCUUCUUAUCA